UCCUCAGUAGCUCAGCGGUAGAGCGGUCGGCUGUUAACUGACUGGUCGUAGGUUCGAAUCCUACUUGAGGGA
rnacentral:tRNA from 1 species